GAUGAACGCUGGCGGCGUGCCUAAUACAUGCAAGUCGAGCGAACAGACGAGGAGCUUGCUCCUCUGACGUUAGCGGCGGACGGGUGAGUAACACGUGGAUAACCUACCUAUAAGACUGGGAUAACUUCGGGAAACCGGAGCUAAUACCGGAUAAUAUAUUGAACCGCAUGGUUCAAUAGUGAAAGACGGUUUUGCUGUCACUUAUAGAUGGAUCCGCGCCGCAUUAGCUAGUUGGUAAGGUAACGGCUUACCAAGGCAACGAUGCGUAGCCGACCUGAGAGGGUGAUCGGCCACACUGGAACUGAGACACGGUCCAGACUCCUAAGGGAGGCAGCAGUAGGGAAUCUUCCGCAAUGGGCGAAAGCCUGACGGAGAAACGCCGCGUGAGUGAUGAAGGUCUUCGGAUCGUAAAACUCUGUUAUUAGGGAAGAACAAAUGUGUAAGUAACUAUGCACGUCUUGACGGUACCUAAUCAGAAAGCCACGGCUAACUACGUG
rnacentral:rRNA from 1 species